rnacentral:rRNA from 1 species
AAAACUUCUGUUCGUUNGGAGAAGAAUGGUCGGCAGAGUAACUGUUGUCGGCGUGACGCUAUCCAACCAGAAAGCCACGGCUAACUACGUGCCAGCAGCCGCGGUAAUACGUAGGUGGCAAGCGUUAUCCGGAUUUAUUGGGCGUAAAGCGAGCGCAGGCGGUUUUUUAAGUCUGAUGUGAAAGCCCUCGGCUUAACCGAGGAAGCGCAUCGGAAACUGGGAAACUUGAGUGCAGAAGAGGACAGUGGAACUCCAUGUGUAGCGGUGAAAUGCGUAGAUAUAUGGAAGAACACCAGUGGCGAAGGCGGCUGUCUGGUCUGUAACUGACGCUGAGGCUCGAAAGCAUGGGUAGCGAACAGGAUUAGAUACCCUGGUAGUC